UACGGGGGAUGCAAGCGUUAUCCGGAAUCAUUGGGCGUAAAGCGCCUGUAGGUUGUCUAAUAAGUCCGUUGUUAAAUACUAGGGCUUAACCCUGGGAAAGCAAUGGAAACUAAUAGGCUUGAGUAUGGUAGGGGUAGAGGGAAUUUCUAGUGUAGCGGUGAAAUGCGUAGAUAUUAGAAAGAACACCAGUGGCGAAAGCGCUCUACUGGGCCAUUACUGACACUCAGAGGCGAAAGCUAGGGGAGCGAAAGGGAUUAGAUACCCCUGUAGUCCUAGCCGUAAACGAUGGAUACUAGGUGUUGUGUUUAUAUACAGUAUCGUAGCUAACGCGUUAAGUAUCCCGCCUGGGGAGUACGCUCGCAAGGGUG
rnacentral:rRNA from 1 species